GCGUGGAUUAGGCAUGCAAGUCGAACGAAUCCCACCUGGGCAACUGGGUGGGGGAAGUGGCGAAAGGGGCAGUAAGGCGUGGGCAACCCACCCCGGGGACGGGCAUAGCCGUCCUAACGGACGGGUAAUACCCGGCGAUCCGGCGAGGGGGCAUCUCCUUGCCGGGAAAUGAGUUUCGCCUCGGGAGGGGCUCACGUAGUAUUAGCUUGUUGGUAGGGUAACGGCCUACCAAGGCGAAGAUGCUUAGCGGGUGUGAGAGCACGACCCGCGCCACUGGCACUGAGACACUGGCCAGACUCCUACGGGAGGCUGCAGUCGAGGAUCUUCGGCAAUGGGCGCAAGCCUGACCGAGCGACGCCGCGUGCGCGAAGAAGGCCUUCGGGUUGUAAAGCGCUGUCGAGGGGGAGAAAGCCGCAAGGUUGAUCGACCCCUGGAGGAAGCACGGGCUAAGUUCGUGCCAGCAGCCGCGGUAAGACGAACCGUGCGAACGUUGUUCGGA
rnacentral:rRNA from 1 species